GACAGAGGGUGCAAACGUUGUUCGGAAUUACUGGGCGUAAAGCGAGUGUAGGCGGUGUGGUAAGUCGGAUGUGAAAGCCCCGGGCUCAACCCGGGAAGUGCACUCGAUACUGCCACGCUAGAGUAUCGGAGAGGUUGGUGGAAUUCUCGGUGUAGAGGUGAAAUUCGUAGAUAUUCGGAAGAACACCAGUGGCGAAGGCGACUCACUGGCCCAUUACUGACGCUGAGGCGCGAAAGCGUGGGGAGCAAACAGG
rnacentral:rRNA from 1 species